rnacentral:rRNA from 1 species
AGCGCAGGCGGGAAACUAAGCGGAUCUUAAAAGUGCGGGGCUCAACCCCGUGAGGGGGUCCGAACUGGUUUUCUUGAGCGCAGGAGAGGAAAGCGGAAUUCCCAGUGUAGCGGUGAAAUGCGUAGAUAUUGGGAAGAACACCAGUGGCGAAGGCGGCUUUCUGGACUGUAAUUGACGCUGAGGCUCGAAAGCUAGGGUAGCGAACG